AUUGAACGCUGGCGGCAUGCCUUACACAUGCAAGUCGAACGGCAGCACGGGAGCAAUCCUGGUGGCGAGUGGCGAACGGGUGAGUAAUAUAUCGGAACGUGCCCAGUCGUGGGGGAUAACGCAGCGAAAGCUGUGCUAAUACCGCAUACGAUCUAAGGAUGAAAGCGGGGGAGCGCAAGACCUCGCGCGAUUGGAGCGGCCGAUACCAGAUUAGCUAGUUGGUGGGGUAAAGGCCCACCAAGGCGACGAUCUGUAGCUGGUCUGAGAGGACGACCAGCCACACUGGAACUGAGACACGGUCCAGACUCCUACGGGAGGCAGCAGUGGGGAAUUUUGGACAAUGGGCGCAAGCCUGAUCCAGCAAUGCCGCGUGCAGGAUGAAGGCCUUCGGGUUGUAAACUGCUUUUGUACGGAACGAAACGGCCCUUUCUAAUACAGGGGGCUAAUGACGGUACCGUAAGAAUAAGCACCGGCUAACUACGUGCCAGCAGCCGCCGCCG
rnacentral:rRNA from 1 species